GACGAACGCUGGCGGCGUGCCUAAUACAUGCAAGUCGAACGCAGUGGGGACGGGUGAGUAACACGUGGGUAACCUCCCAUCAGAGGGGAUAACACUUGGAAACAGGUGCUAAACCGAUACUGAUGGAUGGACCCGCGGUGCAUUAGCUAGUUGGUGAGGUAAAGGCGAACCAAGGCAACGAUGCAUAGCCGGCCUGAGAGGGUGAUCGGCCACACUGGGACUGAGACACGGCCCAGACUCCUACGGGAGGCAGCAGUAGGGAAUCGUGGGCAAGGGACGAAAGUCUGACCGAGCAACGCCGCGUGUAUGAAGAAGGUUUUCGGAUUGUAAAACUCUGUUGUUAGAGAAGCGGUAUCUAACGAAAAAGCCACGGCUAACUACGUGCCAGCAGCCGCGGUAAUUC
rnacentral:rRNA from 1 species